rnacentral:lncRNA from 1 species
AAAGAAAUAAUAAAAAAAAAGUUGGCUUGUCUAUAUUGCCCCAAACAUGCUGGGAGGUGUAUGCAUUAAGGGAGGUGCAAGAAGCACAUGCUUGGUAUGAAGGGCCCUUUGGACUCAAUCAAGUUGAGAAUGAUGGAUUCAAGGCAUAAUACUCAUUUCCCACGUUCUCAAUUAAACUUUAAACACACUCCCUCUCCCUGACUAGCUCAACCGAAAAACCACCACCAUCGCACCAGAAAUCAUCUCUGGCGGUGGUGGAGCUCCAAUGAACCUCAAACUUGUAUCAAAACACUUGUUUCUUCUUCCUCUUCCAUAAUCCCUUAUCAAUUUUCGUCAAUUCUCAUUCCACAAUCCAAAUCAAAACCAAAUAUGUAAGAACCCUAGAUUUUUUAAUUAAAAUUAAAUGGCCAAUGAGGGGAAUCAAAGCAAGGGGCCUUAGGGCUUUGAUUCCCUUCAUUAUCCUCUACAUCUUGGUAUCAAGAUUUAAACAAAAGACAGAGAAAGGGAGAAGAUCAUCAACUUAUAAAUAUUGAAGAAUAUGAAAUUAAGGACGAAGGUAGAAAUAGACAUGAAGAUGAAACUGAUGUCGGUAUGCUACCAAGCCUCUGACUCUCCCUUCUUAUUCUCCUUUCAUUCUUUAUUUUUCUUCUCCUUCUUCCCUAGCUUGUCAGAUAUGUGUGAUGUUGCUUGUUGUUGUUAUUUGAGUGUUCUCUGCGUGCAUGUAUUGAUGCUCCAUGAAAGGUUGAAGGAGAGUCCUAAGAGAUGUAGAGAGAGUGAGGAGAGUGAAAUAAUAGAUUGAGUUGGUUUUUGGAGAGUUUUGUGUGUGCAAUGAUUGAAAAGUGAUUGGAUUCCUUGAUGAUUGCAAUGAUUGUUGGAUUUAUAGAGCUUUGAUCUAUAAUAGAUUUGGGCACCUUGGUUAGGGGUUAGGGCACAAUUAGUUCUGUUAAAUUUAUAAGUGUAAGGGUGGUUAGAUGUUAGCAAAGGUGUUAAGUUAGUUACCUAUUAGUUAGUUUUGUUAUUGUUAGCUUACAAGUUAGAUGCUUUGUUAAUUUCUGUUAAUUGAAUCAAAUUUAUUAACUGUGUAGUUUUGUUAAAUGGCUUUUCACUGUUAGACUUUAGUUAAAUCAGUUACUUGUUAAAUGGAAACCUGUUAGUUUUAUUUCUGUUAAAAAUUCGAAGUUAGUUCUUUAUUAGAGGUGUUAGUUUCUUCACACUCUUAAGUUUGCAGUUAGAUGAAGUUUGAAAUUAGCUUGAUUAGAAUGAUUACUAGUUGUGUGAAUGUUAGAAUUGGAUUUAAUCCAAUAUCACUAUUGCUUCUGAUUUGUUAUCCUCGUUCAUUGCUUAAGCUUGAAUGAAUUCAUUUGUUAGAUGAUGAACUGUUAGUAGAUGCAAACUGUUAACUUGUUAUGAUUCUCUUUACAGAAGUUUUGUUGGUUAACAUUCAGUUUGAAAAUUGGAUGGUGGGUUUUGUGAACUUUCCUAUGCUAGAAUUAGAAUUUUGGGACUAUUAGGUUGCAUUGAAGUUGUUGAUAUGUUAAUACGCAUGCUUGAUAUCCCAUAUUAGAACUUAUUGUGAUUGAGGGUUAACCAAGAAUUAUAGUUAGGAUCGGUGAGAUCAAUUUCCAUGUCAGAAUUAAUUCUAUAGUUGAAUUGGAGUGGAGUUAUUAUGUGCAAUUGAGCUAGCUUGUUAACAAAUGAUGGUUUGUGAACUCAUGAUUGAAUGCUUAAUUGAGUUAUGUUUUUAUUUAUUAUGGUUUUGAACUGUUUUUUACUAAUUGUGAUGCUUGUUAGGUUAAUGAACUUAUGAACAUAGUAUGGGUUAUGAAUGAUACGUUUGGAUAGAUGUGAACUUGUUUCUUGCAUGCUUGAGGAUGGUUUGAAUUGCCUUGGUGAUUGUUUAAAUAUGAAAUGAGUUGAAUGCUAACCUGACUUAGUGUAUGUUCUGUAUAGGUUUUGGUAAAUUUGUGCCUUGCUUGAAUAUGACUCUCUCUCUCUCUCUCUCUCUCUCUCUAUAUAUAUAUAUAUAUAUAUUAUAUAUAUAUAUUAUAUUUGAAUUUCAUAGAAAUUGCAUGUUAGAUUUCUUUUACCACUUUCCUAGAUCAGCAUGCCAUUAGGUCUUUGUGUAACAUCCCAUUUUCGCUAGAUAAUUUGGUUUGAUUUUGUUAUGCAUUUUAUGUGAUUUAAUUAGUUGUUUGGUGUAGUUAUGUAGAAUUAAUUGGAAUUUUAAUUAAUUAUUAGAAUAAAUAGUAUUUUAUUUGAAUUAAUUAAAUAAAAUAUAAAAUGAUAGAAUUAGGUCAAUAUGGAGAACUUGGAGAAAUAAAUGGGAGCAAGGAGUUAGGGAGUUGGGGCAAUAGUGUGAAUUAAGAAAAUUGAGGGUUAAUGAGGUAAUUGGGAAAACGUGUGUAGAAAACCCAAAGUUAUAUUUGAAGGACGAGAGUUUUAUGGAAAACAGAGUUUUAUGGUGAGAAGAGGAAAAUGCUAGGACUAGAGGAAUACUCCAUUGUUAGAGCUUGAAGUUGCAUAUUGCUAGAAAAUCCAAGGUAAGGGGGAGAAAGGGAAUUCAACCUAGGUGUAUUGAAUCAUAUUCAUGUGAAGCCUAAAGAUAUUCUGAACGCUGCUUUCAGAACGAGGUAUGGUCAUUACGAGUAUUCAGUAAUUUUGUUUGGUGUGUCUAAUGUUCCUGAAGUGUUCAUGAAGUACAUGAAUAGAAUAUUCCAUCUGCACUUAGAUUAGUUUGUUAUUGUGUUCAUCAAUGACAUCUUGAUAUUAUUAAAAUUUGAUGAAGAGCAUAUGGAACAUCUGAGGGUUGUAUUAUAGACUUUGAAAGAGAGCCAGUUGUACGCAAGGGUGUCCAUGUGCGAGUUAUGGUUGCGAGAAGUGACUUUCCUUGGUCAAGUAAUUUCGAGUGAUGGUAUUGUUGUUGAUCCAUCAAAGAUAGACGUUGUGUUGUAGUGGGAGACUCCAAAGUCUAUUACGGAGAUUAGAAGUUUUCUUGGGUUGACUGGUUACUACAAGAAGUUCAUUGAAGGUUUUUCAAAGCUAAUGUUGUCGUUGACUCAGUUGACUCAAAAGGGUCAAUCUUAUGUUUGGGAUGUGUAUUGUGAAUAGAGUUUCCAAGAACUCAAGAAGAAGUUAACGUCUGCUCCAGUUUUGAUUUUUCCAAAUCCUAGUGAGUCCUUUGUUGUGUAUUAUGAUGCUUCAAAGAUGGGUCUGAGAGGUGUGUUGAUGCAUAAUGGGUAAGUUAUAGCUUAUGCUUCUAGACAGUUAAGAGUUCCUGAAAGGAAUUAUCCUAUGCAUAACCUUGAGACGUUAUCUAUUCAACUCCAAAUUUAAGAUGUUUAAUGAUCACAAGAGUUUAAAGUAUUUAUUUGAUCAGAAGGAAUUGAAUAUGUGGCAGAGAAGAUGGCUUGAGUUUAUGAAAGAUUGUAAUUUUGGCUUAAUUUAUCAUUUGGGUAAAGCUAACGUUGUAGCUGAUGCAUUGAGUAUGAAGUCAUUCCGCAUGUCGACGUUGAUGGUCAGAAAGUUGGAAUUGAUUGAGAAGUUCAGAGAUAUGAGUUUGGUAUGUGAAAAGACUCCUAAUAAUGUGUAGUUGGGUAUGUUGAAGUUGAUCAGCGGUAUCCUUGAGGAGAUUAAAAAGGGUCAGAGGACUGAUGUGGGAUUUCUUGAGCAGCUUGUGAUAAUCAAUCAAGGUAAGGGUGGUGACUUCAUAAUUGACGAGAACAAUGUGAUGAGGUUCAGAGACAAAGUUUGUGUAUCAUAUGUACCCAAGCUUAAGAAGAGUAUUCUUGAGGAGGGUCAUAGAAGUGGUAUGAGUAUUCAUCCCGGUGCCACUAAGAUGUAUUAAGAUUUGAAGAAAUUGUUUUGGUGGCCAGGAAUGAAAAUGAAGUAAUUGAGUUUGUCUAUUCUUGUUUAGCUUGCCAAAAGUUGAAGAUUGCAUAUCAGGAAUCGUUAGGUCUGAUGCAACUGUCAUACCCUAAAUUUUCACCCCACCUAAAGUCAUUCAUCUGCAUUUCAGUCGUCUGUAUUCACUCAUUUUUGCCCAUUCAUUUGCAUUCAUGUUCACUAAUAUCUCAUGUUGCAUCAUUUCUCAUGACCAUUAAAUAAGGUUUUUACUUCCAUAAGAAACUCAGAAUUCAUUAAUCAAGGAUUAGUUAACUUCAAUUGUGUUACUAAGACCAAUGCAUACAUUCCCUUUAUGCAUACAUCUUUCAUUCUCACAAUUUAGGAAAAUUUGUUAAUCUCAUACCAUUUAAAUUUACUAUCUUUGAUCAAUGACAUAUGAGGAAUUAAGUCAUUUAUUUUGGAUAUGAUUGAUCUAUGUAAUAAGGGAAUAAUCUUUGGAGUGACCUUUUUUAUUUAUUUAUUUUUACUUAUUAAUUUCACACAAAAAAUGCGUGUUUAAUAUUUUUUUUACAAAAAAGGAUUCAUGGAAUUACAAGAUCUUGUGCAUAUUGGAAGGAUAUUACAUGAUAUUGUACACGAGGUAAAAUGUCACAAAUCGAGUCCAAAAAAAAACAACAACAACAAGGAACUUGUCUUAUCUUUUUUUGCAAUAGAGAGAUGUUGGAGGGUAUCCCAUUCUUGAACUUCAAAGGGUGUCACCACAGUAAGUAUUGACCCUGCAGUAAAAAGGAAGAAUAAAGUAAGUUUCAAGGAUAAGGAGAUUGAUCUUCAUUACAGUAAAAACACUUUGUAGAAAAUUCAAAUUUAUAUUUUUCAAAAGGGAAAGAGGAUAACCAUCUUUCAGCCUGCAGUGGUUUGAAUACCUCCGAUUGAGCAUUAUCCUGCCUCACUCACAAUUCCACCCAUGUCACAGUAGGUAUUGCAGACUUGCACCAAAUUGGAACGACACAAAAAAACAUCUAAGAAAGUUUCCCAUUUUCAUUACAAUGAAUAAAUUCCAGGAACAUCAUAAAAUCUAGGACACUAAUAUAAAAAAGGAGGGCAACAUUAAAAAAGAGGCAUCAGUCACAAGCAAAAAAACAAUUUUGAUGCAUGAAGGACCCAAAACCAUAUCCGAAAAAUAUCACAGGAAGCACCAUAGUGACAAACUCAUAAGCAGUCCAAAUCCAUAUAAAGAAGAAAAGAUUUGCAAAAGGGAUUGAGAAAGAGAUACCUGAGCCUUGGGUAACUCAUUUCUUGUGGGGUAUUUUUUCAAUUCACUUUUUUAUUCCGUAUGUUAACUCGGACUUCUGUUGUGUUUCUGCUUUCUGGAUUAACUAUUGCUUGUUUCUUUUUGUAAAUUAUCCCAACCUUAUUUUUCCCGAACUACCUUCAGUUUGGCGUUGGGUUAUAAGGGGCCUUGGUUAGGUUAAGGAUUAGGGUUUGUCUAUUUUGCUUCCGAGUGUACUUUUGUAAGCUUUCCAUAUUCGGAUCUUGGUUUCGGUUUUUUUUCCUGCAUUAUAGUAUUUGCAGCUACUGUCUUGAGAGAGGAAGGAGAAGGUUUUUGGAGGGACAUCUCUCUGAGUGUUGUGAGGGCCGCCACCGCGGAAGUAGGAGGGCCGACAUCGAGAUAUCAUGAGAACGAUCGUCGUCACAGAUAUGUGCACCGCAGAAGUUUGAAGGUCUCCGUCGAGGUCGCGUGAAAGGGUCGUCGAUGUAGAAGCAUGCGUUAGCCGUAAAGUUGAGUUCUUCGUCGCGAAGUCGUGAGGCCGGUUCGUGAUUAAGACAUUUGUGUGUUUUUGAUGCCGUUUCUUUAUGGAGGCAGGCGAAUCCAUAACUGCGGCAAGGGAGGUGUCGAGAUCCGAAUAUUGAUUUAGGUUUUGGUUUAGUUUAGGAGAGUUUCUUCCUUUUCCGUUCUGUAAGACCCCAAUUUUGACCCUGAGAUCCCUCAUGAAAUUUUAUCAUAAGCAUUAGCAUUUGGAUCAUGCCUUGGCAUCCUCCUUACCCCUUUUCAUUGGGUUUAUUUCGGGAGAGAUCGCCAAGCACUUUAUGAUUAUAUCAUACUUGUAUUUUAUCAUUUUACUAACCAAAAUACCAAAAAUAUGUCUUUGUAUAUAUCUAACUCUUUUUGUAGGUAGGGCAUGAUCUCAUUGAUUCAUUGAUCACAUCUAGGGUUUGAGACCCUCAUGAACAAAGAGCACAACCAAGAAUUGAUUCAAGAAUGAUUAUGAACAUCAUAUAUGAGUCCCAAUGUUCUCUAAAUGUUAUAUUGAUCAAGUUUGCUUCAAGAGUUUGAGGGUGAUUUGCCUUGGAAACCCUAGUUUGACUGGGUAUCUUGAGUAACUUCUCCAACAAGCUAUCUCACCAAUUGAUCAAAUUUCUCUAGGAACACUUCAAAUUUCAUCAUCCUAUGCAUAUAUUAUCUACCAUGAGCCAAGAAAGUCAAGAGAACUGGAAGUUAGCAAGUUGGUUGAUGGUGGUUGGCCAGAUGGAUUCAUCUGAUCAAAACUGGGUCUCCCUAGACCCUAUCUCCUACAAUUUUCACCAUAUGAAAAUGACUCCAAGAGAAAAUGUACUCUAAAUGACAUUAUAAACAACUUUCAUGUUGAUACCUAGAGCUAGUUUUGCUUGGAAAAUCAUUUUCUAUGUUGAAACAUUAUAGGUCAUUUUGUCUAAACCAUAAUUUGAAAGUCAACUUCCCAAGGCCAUAACUUGCUCAAUUUUUAUGAUAUGGAAGAUUUCCAAGUUGAAAAAUCAAAUUCAAUGUGUGCACUUCAACUUUGAUGUUUGGAGUGGGAGAUAAUUCAACUUUUUUGAGCAUGUGAUAUAAGGCUACAUUAUAGUUCACUUUUGACCUAUACCAUUGAUCAAGUGAUUUUGCUAAACUUUCAAAAAUGCAUAACUCUAUCAUUUCAAAUCCAACUGACAUGAAAUUGGUGACCAUUUUUAAUUUCUUUGAGAGAGAUACAACUUUGAUGAAGACAUGUUUCUCAUUUGAAGCUCCUAUAAAAAUUUAAGCAAGGUGGAAUAUUGAGACAUAUGGCUUGACACUUAGAAAAUUUUUGAUAUGUCAAAUUUUUCCAAACUUCCACCUCAAAUAUCUCCAAGUUACAAGCUUCAAAUGAAAAAGUGUUCAACAUCAAACUUGUUCCUCUUGAUCUCACCUUUCUAGAGAGCUAAAAUUCAUGCAUUUUGGAUGAGAAAUGCAUAGGCUGCGCAUGGCUUAAACAGGCUCAUAUCAUUUGGCAUGGAUCAAUCUUCAAAUGACAAUGCUCAAUUACCUUGCAAUCCAAUCCAUCUCCAAAGCAUCUGAACUUCAUUUUGGACUUUCAAACAAUCAUUUCAUGGGCCUAUGCACGCCCAUGCACCAUGCUUUCAUCAUUUGCCAAUUUUGGAAAGUGAAAGUGAGAAUGCAAAUAUCAUCCAAUUUCUCUAUAAAUUGAAGCCCUUAUGCUCAGAAUUAACACACACACUGCGCCACCUUUGAAUCUCCAUUGAAAACCCUUCACAUUAAGAGCAUAACCCUGAUAAAUUCAGUUGAAUUUGAGCUUGAAUCUCCACUGUUUUGGAAUUCAAUUCUCCAGGAGUCCAUUGCUUAUAAGCCUUUCCAUUCCUCUUCUACAAGUAAUUGAAGUGAAGCCAAGCACAAUUCAGAUCAAGAUCUAGCAAGCUCAGACCUCCAUUAAAGGUAAUUUGUAGAAAAUUUAAUCUCUUCGAUUCUCCUUGUUUCUUGCUCAAUUCCAUUGAUUCUUAUGUUGUCUGAAGUCCUACCAAUGCAGGCAAGGUGUUUGAGUUGUUUUGAGGUCAAAUCGAAGCAACUCAGAUCAUGAACCUCAUUUUUCAAUUCCACAUAUCUCUCAAUAUAGUUGGAAUUGGAAGAAAUGGAGGUGAUAUUCGUGCUCAGUGAUGUUUUCUCUUUAAAAUACAUUUUUCAAUUCCACAUAUCUCUCAAUAUAGUUGGAAUUGGAAGAAAUGGAGGUGAUAUUCGUGCUCAGUGAUGUUUUCUCUUUAAAAUCAUGUCCCUGUUUGAAAUUUUGGUGAUGGUUCAUGUUAACCAGUCCGACGAAGCUCGCCGGAGAAGACAACCGGAGCUCUGGCUCCGGUGAUGAUGUGUCUUUGGUCUAAACGAUGUGAUCUGAUUCUCAUGUUCUAAUCUCAGCCAUUCCUUUUGAUUACUCAUGUUACAGCGCGCUUGACUAAGGUGUUGGUGGAACGCAUGUUAUGGAUCAUCAGAUCUGCCACUUCAAUUAAUGAGGGAGAUCUGAUGGUCCACGUAUUUUAGCAUUUUCUGAAUUUCCAUUUAAUUCCUUUUUUUUUCAAUAAUUCAUAAUAAAUUUUAAUAUUGAUCCAAAAAAUAUGGGACUUUCACCAAAAAAAUUCAAAUAUUUUUCUCUUUCAUAUUAUCAAUUAAAAUUACUUUUUGGAUCAUUAUUAAUAUUUUUCAUGAAUUAAUUGAUUUUUCUUUUGUUUUUAAUUGUUUAAAAAUAUUUUUAAGUGUCCAAAAAUUAUGUAAUUUUUUAUCCAAGGUCCUUUGACCUUGUUUGACCUAUGAUAAAUCACAUGGCCAUUUAUUUGGUGUUUUGAUGUAAUUUUAGGAUUUGGACAAAACAUAUUUGAAUUUAAUACAUUAUUUUAAUAUUUUUAAUUGAAUAAAUGUCAUUUUAAUUGUGUUGACCAUUUGGAUUGACUUAUUUGAGUUUCUGAUUUGUUGUUGGGCCUUGGUCAAGGUUGAUUUGACUUUGUCAAGUUAAUAUUAUUGGAUUUAGGGGAUUGAUGGAAUGUACAUUCCAUCUCCCAAAAUGAACGAAUAAUAUUAAUUUGGUAAAAGUCCUCCUUUGACCAAUUUGUGAUCUCAUUCAUCCCUUUCCCUCUUCAUCUAAUUCCCCUUCUUCAUCCAUUCAUUUCAAUUGGCCAAUGACAUCUCAAAGUCCUAUCAUUCAUCCCUUUCCCUCUUCAUCUAAUUCCCCUUCUUCAUCCAUUCAUUUCAAUUGGCCAAUGACAUCUCAAAGUCCUAAUGCUAGUUGAUUGAAAGAUUAACAUGAGUAUGGAUGAGAUUAGGCGACACCUUUGCAUAUUUUUUUGUGUGUGGUAUGUUUAAUGAGCAUAGUUCUUAAUACUAUGUCUCCAACAUGCAUAACACCAAAAGUUUAUUGCCCGGCCUCAAAUAGUUGUGACUUCAACAUAAGUCCAAUUACGAUUGCUUAACAUAGCACUAAAUUUGUGAUACAAAAGGCAUAAGCAUUCUAGUUAGUGAGAUAGUAAGUCUCCCCUCUUCCAUGGUACUAUGUGGAAACUUGGCCUUCUUUCCUUCCUUUGGAAGACGUUUUGGUUUAAGGAUACAUGAUUGUGGCAAUUGGGUUGAGUGUUCUCCAAAGAAUGUCUUGAAAUUAAAAAGCAAAACAAAACUAACCAUUAACUUUUACUUUCAAGCUUUUACUUUUAAUGCAAUUUACUUUUAUUGUUCUAUUAUCAUUUGUCAUUGUAUAUAUCAUUCUAAUUGUUUAUGUUUAUGCAAUUUUCACUUUGUCCACAUGGACCAUAUUGUGUGAUAUACUUUGUUGCUUUGUUUGUUUGAGUGGUCUUUGACCAUUAAUGCACAUAAUAAUAACAAAAACCCUAAAAGACUUUAAAUGGAUUGUUGGUUUGAUCUUGCCCCAAUUGGACUUAGGACUUAGGCAACAUUCCUUUGCUAAUGGACUUGGCCAAUGCCAAUUUGUUGAAGAACCAAGAACUUGCAAUUUGAAUUCAUCUGAUACAUCAUUCUAGACCUCUCCAGAUACAUCUGCAACAUUGAUCAUUGCUAAGUUGUUAUGUUGAACCUGUGACUUGUGGAAUUCAUCUGCUACAUAGGCUAUUUUGAAGAAGAUCAUUGAAGUGGAUAAGCUUGGAUGAGGCCACCUUUAUUUGAUGCCUUUUUCUCUUUAAGAUUGAUCUAAUUGUGCAUAUGUGUGUUGCUUAAUUCUAAAAAGUCCAAGGGAAUUCUGGGUUUCUAUUGACAUACUUGUCUAUUCGAUUGCUACCCAUUUGGUCAGAUCUUUUCAAAUUUAAACUUUUAAUUUUUGUGCAUAGGGUAGCCUCUUCAUCUUCUCCCCAUUUCUUUAAUUUCAAAAUCUCUCCCUCCAUUUUCAAAACCUUCUUUGUGUGAACUGUUUUGUUCUAAACUUUGACCACUUUUACAAAAAGGUAGAAACUUUGGCCUUAUGCCAUUGCAUUUUCAAACUUAUUUUCUUAAAUCAACUUGUAAAUAAACUUAACUAUACUUGACUUAAACUUUCAAAGAGCCAAAAAAAACUAACUCAUUCAAACCAUUUUAGGCCUUUGUGCCUUUUAAGCUUAAUUUUUGUUAAAACCAACAUACUCACUUUGAAAUUUCUAGCACGAACUACGAGGUUUUGAUCCCUCAUUUUUAUGUUGGUACGUAGGCACAAGACCGAAGGUCAUACUCACUUUGAAAUUUCUAGCACGAACUACGAGGUUUUGAUCCCUCAUUUUUAUGUUGGUACGUAGGCACAAGACCGAAGGUCUUGUCAAACACAAAAAUAUAAUUAAUGAAUUCUUUUCUCAUCCACUAAUUCUAUUUGUUUGUAAACAUCACUUUGUAUAAAAUACAUAUGCACACAAAAAGGGCUCCCUAGGAGUACCUAAGACACUUUGGGUGCUAACACCUUCCUUCUGUGUAACCAACCCCCUUACCUGUGAUCUCUGAUUUUUCUUAGUUUUUAUUUGAAAACUUCUUACUAUUUGGGUUUUGUUCGUACUUUUUCCCUUUUCCCUUGGAAACAAUAAAAGCGCGGUGGAGACUCUUGUUAAUUGAUCUUUAGCUUAUCAAUAGCUUAAUGAUCAUGAAUUUCCCGCUACACGUUCCUGGGAAGUGUUUGGCUUUGAGUAAGGAAUUUGUUCAGUUUCAGAAGAGGAAGGGAGAAGGAACGUGUGGAAACUGACCUUUUUUUCAUUUGCUUGGAAUCCGUUAGUUUUCUAUUAAGUUCCCAAGGCCAUCAUUAUCGCUUCUUUUUAGUGGCCCUAGGUCUGCAUAAAAAUUGCCAAGGGUCACUUUCCACUUCCCACUUAAUAUCAACUAGCAUUUAAAGCAAGUGGGCAUUCAUUAGCUAUUGUUGUUUGGUUUCCACGUGCAGACAGUUGGGUUAGGGAGGAGGCGGCGGUUUCCUUAAAUUUAGGGUUUCCAAGUGUGGUUACUACCAAGUAGGGUUGGAUCGGGCCUGACCCGCCCCAAGAACCGUAUCCAUUCUUUAUAUGGGCUUCUUACCCACCCACACACGACCCACAUUGUUUUUUUAGUUUAAUUUUUUUUUUAUAGUUUUGUGUAUGUACCCGUGGAUGUAUCCAACUUCCAACCUACCCCUCUUGGCCUAGUGGUUGAAACUUCCCUUGUCUCUCAUGAUGUCCUUGGUUCGAUUCCUGCUUUGACCAUUUUCUUUUUGUUCUCAUUUUAUUUCUUGUAGAUUAAUUAUUCUCUAUAUUUCUUUCUUCGGUGAUUAUUUUAUCUAGGUUAAUUGUUUUUUUGUAUCUCCAUUUAAGUUAAAUUAUUCCAAAACUCCAUCUCUAUUAUUUUUUCUAUUUUUGGGCGUCAAGAUGAAACUUAUAUUUUAUUCUUACAUUUACAAUUAACAUAGUUAGAUUCCCCACAUUAAGCCUUUGUAGAAACUCGCAUUCAGCCUUGUUUAAACUCCUGCUUCGGUUAUUUUAACCUCAAACGUCCACCUACACUUUCUUCCAUUAUUAUCAUUCAAACGUAUUUUUCUCAAUAAAAUCUGAAGAAAAAGAUUACCCUGGAUGGAAUAUCCAGUCGUAAUCCUAAAUAUUAGGCCCAAGUUGUAAGAGCUUGUAAGCCCUAUGUAUUCGUUUUCUCUUCAAAAUAUUUGUAAAUAUUCAAACAUAUUUUUCUCAAUAAAAUCUGAAGAAAAAGAUUACCUGGAUGAAAUAUCCAGGAGUAAUCCCGAAUAUUAGGCCCAAGUUGUAAGAGCUUGUAAGCCCUAUGUAUUCGUCUUCUCUUUAAAAUAUUUGUAAAUAUUCAAACGUCUUUUCUCAAUAAAAUUGAAAGAAAAAGAUUACCUGGAUGAAAUAUCCAGGCGUAGUCCCGAGUAUUAGACCCAAGUUGUAAGAGUUUGCAGGUCAUAAGUACUCGUCUUUCAAACCCAAAAAUACAUCCAACCAAUCAAGCUUUUUUUCGCCGCCGUACGAUCGAUCAGAAAACCCUUUGCAGAAACGAAAGACAUCUUGUCUUAAGAUGAUACAAAGCAAUGCUUCGGCCAUAAUUUUUGAGUUGAGAUAAGUGACAUUUUUCCGAAUGUUGAUUUGUAAAUCCAUUCGAUGUGUGGUAUACAUUCGCUACUCAUCUGUUUUUGGUAAAACAAUGUUUUCGUCGAUUAAUACAAUAUAACUUUAGCUAAAAUCGACCAACAAACAAAUAUUUUUCUACCCAUAACUACAUAAGCCUUGAGUUCUCUAUUGCACCUGGAGAUACGUAGGAGUAGGAUUCGUAAAUCUUGCCAGGCCCAUUAAUAAAAAACUUAGGUUUAGUCCUCAUCGUUGCAAAAUCCAAAAACAUUCUUUUCUCUUUUAUUCUUUCUUUCCCACCUAAUAACUUGAGAAGCCUAACAUUUCAAGCUAACACUAACGCGCACAAUUAACCUAAUGGUUCCCGUUGAGUACAAUGGACGUGAGGGGUGCUAAUACCUUCCCCUUGCGUAAUCGACUCCCGAACCCUGAUUUGGUUGCGACGACCAUAAUCAUUGUCGUUCUUUCUUGGGUUUUAUCGAUAUUUCCCCUUUUCUUUUUAGGAAUAAAUAUAUGUUCGAUGGCGACUCUGUUUAGUCCAUCAUGCGAGCGUGCGAUUGCGCUUCGCUUAAGUCGUGUUCUCAUUUUUCGAGGUGCGACAACAACCAUUGAGUAUUCCAGAGUGGAAGUGGGAUAGCAUUUCCUUGGAUUUCGUGACAAGUUUUCCAAGGAUGACAAAGGCAUGUGAUUCCAUUUGGAUGGUUGUUGAUAGGAUGACUAAAUCGCCUCAUUGUAUACCGCUUAGGAUCAAUUAUACUUUGCAGGUGUUAGUUAAGAUGUAUAUUGAGAAGAUUGUUAGUGUGCAUGGUAUUCUAUUGAGAAUUGUGUCUGAUAGAGAUCUGAGGUCCACGUAGAGUUUUGUAUGAUUUUGCAAGAGGCGUUGGGUACUAAGCUAAGGUUGAGUUCUGUUUAUCAUCUGCACACAGAUAGCCAAAUGGAGAGAAUUAUCCAAUCCUUGAAGGAUAUAUUAAGGGCUUGUGUGCUAGAACAAGAUGGUGUUUGGGAUAUCUACUUGCCACUAAUUGAGUUCACGUACAAUAAUAGUUUCAAUUCAAGUACCGGAAUAGCCUCGUUUAAGGCGUUGUAUGGUAGGAGGUGUAUGAUACCUCUGUAUUUGUAUGAAUAUGGUGAGAGUGUAUUAAUUGGACCUAAGAUUGUGCAACAAACUUCUAAGAAGAUCAAUAUGAUCCAAGAGAAGAUAAAAGCUUUGCAGAGUCACCAGAAGAGUUACCAUGAUAAGAGAAGGAAAACACUUGAGUUCUAAAAGGGAGACCGUGUGUUUUUAAGAGUUAAUCCAGUAAACGGUGUCAGUCGAGCUUUGAAGUCUUGAAAGCUCACACCAUAUUUUGUUGUUCCAUACCAGAUACUGUAGAGGGUAUGAGAGAUG